GACCCGACUGCUAUUUGGGUGAGAAUAAGCCAUGCGAGUCGAAUGGGAUACCUAAAUUUCCCAUGGCAAACUGCUCAUUAACACAUGAUCAACUUACCCUAUAGAGAAAAAUAACCUCGGGAAACUGAGGAUAAUAUUUCGUAGUUGAAUAGGCUUGGAAAAGUUUUUCAAUAAAAGGGAUAAAAAAAAUGGUUUUUAUCUGCUAUAGGAUAGGAUCGUGGACGAUUAUGGUUGUUGGUGAGGUAACGGCUCACCAAGCCGAUAAUCGAUAGGGGCCGUGAGAGCGGGAGCCCCGAGAUGGGUACUGAGACAACGACCCAGGCCUUACGAGGCGCAGCAGGCGCGGAACCUCCGCAAUACACGAAAGUGUGACGGGGUUACCCAAAGUGUUCAAUUCUGAACUGUGGUAGGUGAGUAAUGUUCCCUACUAGAAAGGAGAGGGCAAGGCUGGUGCCAGCCGCCGCGGUAAAACCAGCUCUUCAAGUGGUCGGGAUAAUUAUUGGGCUUAAAGUGUCCGUAGCCGGUUUGGUAAGUUCCUGGUAAAAUCGGGUAGCUUAACUAUCCGUAUGCUAGGAAUACUGCUAUACUAGAGGGCGGGAGAGGUUUGAGGUACUACAGGGGUAGGGGUGAAAUCUUAUAAUCCUUGUAGGACCACCAGUGGCGAAGGCGUCAGACUGGAACGCGCCUGACGGUGAGGGACGAAAGCCAGGGGAGCGAACCGGAUUAGAUACCCGGGUAGUCCUGGCCGUAAACGAUGCAUACUA
rnacentral:rRNA from 1 species